rfam:Equus caballus chromosome 19, whole genome shotgun sequence.
UUUUAAGUGUAAUUAUAUCUCAUGCAAUAUUUAGGACAUACUUAGACUAAAA